UUUACUAGAUUUACUUUAGAUGAAUAUUAAAUUACACAUAGAAAAUGUUGUAUGUGGCUACCAAUUUGAGUGUUUGCUUGUGUAACAGUUAAAGGAUUAGAGUAUUGAGGUUACAUUGUGGAAUUGUGUUUGGUUAAGGACAGAGGUGAGUUGAAUGUGAGGUUGAUGUGCUAUUUUUAUAGUCAGUUGGUGUUGAUACUUGUAGAUGCAUGUAUUCAUAAUGUACUCACUGAUAAUAACAUGUGAUGUCUCUUAUCAAUGGUAGGAUGGACAGACAGCUCUACAUUAUGCUUGUGAGAAAGGUCAUUUGUCUGUUGUGGAGAAAUUAUUGUCAGCAGAUUGUAACAAAGAAGCAAGGGAUAAUCGUGGAUGGACAGCUCUACAUUGUGCUUGUCAGUAUGGUUAUUUGUCUGUUGUGGAGAAAUUAUUGGCAGCAGGUUGUAACAAAGAAGAAAGGGAUAAUGAUGGAUCAACACCUUUACAUCUUUCCUGCUCAUAUGGAGUAUGUUGUGAUAGUCAUCUGUCAAUUGUCAAGUUGUUGAUAUCAUCAGGAGCUGAUGUGUCAACAGUGAACAAUGAAGGACAAACACCAUUACAAGCUGCA